rnacentral:rRNA from 1 species
AGAGUUUGAUCCUGGCUCAGGAUGAACGCUAGCUACAGGCUUAACACAUGCAAGUCGAGGGGCAGCAGAUCGAUAGCUUGCUAUUGAUGCUGGCGACCGGCGCACGGGUGAGUAACGCGUAUCCAACCUUCCCUAUAGUAGAGGAUAGCCCGGCGAAAGUCGGAUUAAUACUCUAUGUUUUUCCGAAGCAGACAUCUAAUUUGGAACAAAGGUUCACCGCUAUAGGAUGGGGAUGCGUCUGAUUAGGUUGUUGGCGGGUAACGGCCCACCAAGCCUACGAUCAGUAGGGGUUCUGAGAGGAAGGUCCCCCACAUUGGAACUGAGACACGGUCCAAACUCCUACGGGAGGCAGCAGUGAGGAAUAUUGGUCAAUGGGCGAGAGCCUGAACCAGCCAAGUAGCGUGCAGGAUGACGGCCCUAUGGGUUGUAAACUGCUUUUAUGCGGGGAUAAAGUUCACUACGUGUAGUGUUUUGUAGGUACCGCAUGAAUAAGGACCGGCUAAUUCCGUGCCAGCCGCCGC